rnacentral:lncRNA from 14 species
UUAUGCUUAUCUUUGUUCACACAGAUCUGUACAGCUCAAAUAACCACAUUCUGGCCUGCUGCACACUUGAUCUGAACAACAUCAUCUAGUUCACUGCACUACUGCUCUUGCACAGAUAACUACAUCAAUAUAGUAUCAAGCAGUCAGAUUAGACUGGAUAUCAUCUUUCCUGGGAAGAUCCACAGUCCUAAUUGUCCUGUCUGUAUAUGACAAACAAACAAACGGUGCUUUCUGCUGCUUCUGGACUGCUGCCAGCUGUCCCGAUGUCAAUCAGCAAAGGGCAAAACCAGCCCACCAAUAAAGAAACUCACUAAGAAGCAGUGCUCUGCAGCCUUAGCAGACAGCCCAUCUUCGCUUUCUUCAGAAUACCAGCAAAGAUGCUCUCCACAGGCAGAGAUUGAAGUGCUAACUCUUCCAUUACACCAGCUUCUUCCACCAGCAUAAGUUUUGAUCUAGGAAGAAAAAGACAAGUCUUCUGGGUAGGACUAAGGAACAGUUGCUAUGACAUGAACUGCGACUAAAAGGAUCCUUGGAUCAUUUUCACCCUGAACACAAAUAUUGAUCUCACAUAGUGAAAAGCUGCUCUUUAGUAUAACCAAAAUAUAUCAUAGAAUCAUAGAAUAGAAUCAUAGAACAGUUAGGGUUGGAAAGGAACUUAAGAUCAGCUAGUUCCAACUCCCCUGUCAUGGGCAGGGACACCUCACACUAAACCAUGUCUCCCAAGGCUCUGUCCAACCUGGCCUCGGACACCUCCACUUCCAAGAAAACAGUAUCAGCAACACAUUUUGUACAAAACUCAGUACUGCAGCACUAGUUGGCUACUUUAGAGGAAUUAAAUAUUUUAAUAUUAUUAAAUAUGCUAAAGUAUAGAAUUUGUUACCUUUCUUGUUACUAUACUCUAUACUCGCCUUUUAUUUUUUUUUCAAUUAUGUUACUCUUUUGCAUAUAAUAAAGUUCUUUGUGAAAUGCUUCA